rnacentral:misc_RNA from 1 species
AGCUGUUCCCCUCUGGAGGUUUCGACCUUCCAAUUUCAAGGGCCGCGAUCUCGCUGGCCCUUUUUUCUUACAAAG